CUAGUCUCCUCUUGGGAACUCUCCUGGAUAUCUGCAUGGCUUCUUUCUUAGUCAGCCUAGGUGACCUAAACUACAGGAAUUUAUUUUCUCAGUAUCCUGGAAGCUGAGAAGUAUGAGAACACUUCACUGUGAGUCACCUUGUAACUUUGGGAAUGCUUUUUCUGUUAAAAAUGAGACCCAAAGAAGGUCUCAUCUUAUUUCAGGACAACUUCACACAGAUGGCUGGAAAACUAUCAUUGCCUGCACGUUGGGAAUGGGGUCGUUUCCGCUUACCUCAUAGCGUCAUUUCCGCUUACCUCACAGCGUCAUUUCCGCUUACCUCACACUGCUGUUUCCGCUUACCUAACAGCCUCAUCAGGUGACGGUCUAUCUCAUUUACUGUUCUGUUUUAUGUUAUGUUGUGGCUAUUUUUAUUUUUAUUUAUGUGUGCGCACCCACACAGGCCAUCAGGUCCUCUAGAGAUGCAGUUCCAGGUAGUUGUGAGCUGCCCAGUUCUGAGAACCAAAUUCAGGUCGUCCGGAAGAGCAGCGAGGGCCCCUAACUGCUGAGCCUCGUGUUUUGAGAAUUGCCCUCUCUUGGAUUCCUGUGAGUCACUUGUCCCCUGUGAAGCGGCUUGAGAAGAAUGCCUGGCAUCAUUUGUGUGCUCUAACUCCAACUGGAGAUGUUGACUGUGCUAUCGUCCCAGCCAGCUUUUCCUCUCAAUGUUGUUUUUUCUUGAAGAAGUUUCUUUGUUACUGUUCAGCUUAAAUGAAGUCAUCACUGAAGGAAAGAGCAGAAGGAAUUCGGAAUAGUUUUAAUAAACUUCUGAACCCAG